GGGCCCUCUGGUCUGUGGCGGGGAUGGUCUCACCCUGCUCCUUCCCUUCCGGAGGGUGUGUGCUGAGCAGCCCUUGCUGGCCCGUCUGAAAUCACAGCUCCACUCUGUGUUAAGACUCAAAACCAAGAUCACUGUGGAUCUAUGCCCAGGCUGCGUGUUCGGAAGCACGGCUGCUGUGUAAGAAUUUCAAGGGGCCUUCCUAAUUCAGCAAGAAGCCAUUCAAGCUGCUCCAGCAAAAGGCUGUGCACCAACUUUCACACAGUCAUCGUGGGCGCUGCGGCAUUUUGAGAUGCGCAGGACCUUGCACCCUUUGGGGAAAUCCGUGGGUGGGGGACACAGAAAAAGGCUGGGAACAAGGUGCCCUAAGACAGCCUGAGCCGCUGCUUCCUCCC